CCUACGGGCGGCUGCAGUGAGGAAUAUUGGUCAAUGGACGAAAGUCUGAACCAGCCAAGUCGCGUGAAGGAUGACUGCCCUAUGGUUUGUAAACUUCUUUUAUAUGGGAAUAAAACAGGGUAUGCAUACCCUCUUGUAUGUACCAUAUGAAUAAGGAUCGGCUAACUCCGUGACAGCAGCCGCGGUAAUACGGAGGAUCCGAGCGUUAUCCGGAUUUAUUGGGUUUAAAGGGAGCGUAGGUGGAUUGUUAAGUCAGUUGUGAAAGUUUGCGGCUCAACCGUAAAAUUGCAGUUGAAACUGGCAGUCUUGAGUACAGUAGAGGUGGGCGGAAGUCGUGGUGUAGCGGUGAAAUGCUUAGAUAUUACGAAGAACUCCGAUUGCGAAGGCAGCUUACUGGACUGCAACUGACACUGAUGCUCGAAAGUGUGGGUAUCAAACAGGAUUAGAUACCCCUGUAGUC
rnacentral:rRNA from 1 species